CUGCUCACGUCGGCAGCACCUAUACCAAGAAUUGAAGGGACACAGAGAAAAUUAGCAUAGUCCUUGUUCAAGGAUGACAUACGAAUUUAUGCAGCUUUCCAUAUUAAA
ensembl:snRNA U6 U6 spliceosomal RNA